UCCCUCAGGAUAGCUCUCAGCCCUGCUCCCUUCCAUGGAACAUUCCUUGAACAGAACAAAAUCCCAAGGAGAGCUGAGGCUUCACAUGGACCAGCUUCUAGCAGAGGGACACGGCAAAUGAAAUGGAAUUUGCCCUCCGAUGAAAAAUGGCAAAUGAAACGAAGCCUUCUAUGUUAGUGAACAUUUAUUCUUACCAUGCAUUUGGUGCUGUCCUAGACUCUCAACCCUUCCAGGGGUCCUUGCAAGCAUUGUCAGAGCGUUAGAGGCCAUCUGGACAAUUGGAGGAGCACAGGAUUUCCUAAGAAUGAAGUGUGCUUCUAAAGUUGUGUUGGAGCACAUGCAGAGAACUGGGACGCUGGUCCUAGGCAGCGGGGCCAUGUCACAAUUUCCCGUGGCUGGCACUGAAGCAGCAGCUGAUUGGCGACUUGAUAGGAGUCAUUGAAGGUAACUCUGAAGAUACAGGACCUCCUAAAUCAUCACUUCAUCAAGGUUUGACUUGAAAUCAUAUCCAUCAUGAAGCAAAAUGAAGAUGUCACUGAGCAACUGAGACAGUCUAGUUAACUUCCCAAACUGGUACGUCUUCAGGCACAGCUGGGUCCAGGAGCUCAAACAGUAUUCUCAGAGUUCUUGCUCUCCCUCUUUGUCUCUGUCUUUCUCUGUGUGUGUUCAUUUCAUUCCAAGUCCGAUCUUGGAGGAAAGAAAUCGAUAGGGCCAAAACCAGAGAUUGAGAUCUAAAAAGAAGAGAAACUCUUUUCUUCCCCAUCUGCACAUGCGUCAUGGCAGAUUGACUUAGUCUGAGUCAUGUGCCCACCCUGCAAAAAACAUGGUCUCAAAGAGGACUAAUUUUUCUGUGAGCAACAUAGAUUCAAAAUAACAACCACUUAUCACCUCACACCAGUCAGAAUGGCCAUCAUUAAUAAAUCCACA